GUGUUGCCAAAAAAUAUAAGAAUGGUUGUUAUUCAUCUUUACAACUUUUAUAGAAAUAUUUAUGCAAAGAGGUUACCUAAGAAAGAUGUGAAGAAAAUGAAGGCAAGGAUGGUGAUUAUAUUAUAUGAUCUGCAAAAGAUAUUUCUACCAUCAUUUUUUACAGUUAUGAUGCAACUCACCGUAUAUCUUGUGGGAGGAGUUGCACUUAGAGGUCUAGUGUUCUGCC
rnacentral:lncRNA from 1 species